AUUGAACGCUGGCGGCAGGCCUAACACAUGCAAGUCGAGCGGGGUUUUCGGACCUAGCGGCGGACGGGUGAGUAAUGCGUAGGAAGCUACCCGACAGAGGGGGAUACCAGUUGGAAACGACUGUUAAUACCGCAUAAUGUCUACGGACCAAAGUGUGGGACCUUCGGGCCACAUGCUAUCGGAUGCGCCUACGUGGGAUUAGCUAGUUGGUGGGGUAAUGGCUCACCAAGCCGACGAUCCCUAGCUGGUUUGAGAGGAUGAUCAGCCACACUGGUACUUAGACACGUUCCAGACUCCUACGGGGGGCAGCAGUGGGGAAUAUUGGACAAUGGGCGCAAGCCUGAUCCAGCCAUGCCGCGUGUGUGAAGAAGGCCUUCGGGUUGUAAAGCACUUUCAGUAGGGAGGAAGGGUGUUGUGUUAAUAGCACAGCAUUUUGACGUUACCUACAGAAGAAGCACCGGCUAACUCUGUGCCAGCCGCCGCCGUAAGAC
rnacentral:rRNA from 1 species